UACGUAGGGUGCAAGCGUUAAUCGGAAUUACUGGGCGUAAAGCGUGCGCAGGCGGUUGUGUAAGACAGAUGUGAAAUCCCCGGGCUUAACCUGGGAACUGCAUUUGUGACUGGCGGGCUAGAGUAUGGCAGAGGGGGGUAGAAUUCCACGUGUAGCAGUGAAAUGCGUAGAGAUGUGGAGGAAUACCGAUGGCGAAGGCAGCCCCCUGGGCCAAUACUGACGCUCAUGCACGAAAGCGUGGGGAGCAAACAGG
rnacentral:rRNA from 1 species